rnacentral:misc_RNA from 1 species
GAAAAAGGUAAGAGAAAAUAUAUGCUCGCAGACCACGCAGCGAAGCAAUGGAGGUCGAAAGCUGACUCUUUAUCCUCCCUCUUUUCAAAAAGAAAGCAACGAAAUGCACUCAAAAUUAGCAUAAUCACUAUGCGCAUAAAGCGACGUCGUUUCACUUCAUCCUCUUCUUCUUUUUCUUCUUCUCUCUUUGUAGCUCUUGCUCUUUUCUGCAAUCCAAACUGGUUCGAUCCUCUUUCUCAAUUUACGUGUUCUUUGGUUCUUUCCAAUGGACCCUAGUUAACGUUUCAAUUCGUUAGGGCUUUUCAGUCUUGUAGUGAUCCAAAAGCUGAUUUAAUAUUACCUGGAUGUUUAAUUCUUGUUGAAUGAGUUGAAUUUUGGGGUUUUCUUUGAAUCUGUUCUUUGUGCUUAAGCUGAUAAUUUUUUGGAACUAAUGUUUUCUCACUGAGUAGUGUUUGAUAUUAAUCUGUUUGGUUGAUGUGAAAACUAAGAUAAGCGAGUGAUUAUCCUAUAUAAUUUUCUCAGUGACCAAAUAUAGGGUUAGUUCUUGUGUGAUGGGUAACUGAAUCUUUUGCCCUUCUAUACUUUUGAUUUCUCCUCUUGUAAGAUGGAUUUGAAAUUGUGUCUUUGUCGUCUUCUCAAUUUUUUUACCGACAAUUUCGGCAAUUUCCUCGUCAUUUCCGUCAAGGACGGGUAUUGGUGUCUUUUUUUUUUUUUUAAAUAAAUGCCUGAUGCCUCUUCAUGCUUGGUUAUAACAUUGCCUAUUCAAUAAAAUGAGAA